ACCCUGGUCCCAAACAAAUGCUUAUAUAAUACUUUUGAAUGUAUUAAAAUAGUUUUCGGGAUUUUUAGAUUUAACAAAAAUAUUUUGUUUUAGGAUUUAUAAGGAAUUUGCGAAUAGUAAGGUGACCCUAUAAAGGAGAAUGGACAUGAAGGGGUAAAAAUAAAAGUCUCAGAAUAAUUUGUAGAUAUUUUAUAAAUUACCAGAGCGGAGAAAUAGUGAACAGAAGUACGGUCAGAAUUGUAUGAUUUUGCACCGAAUUGUGAUUAUAAAAUCCAGUUAUUAGAAAAUAGGUGAAAAUAGAAAAGACACAAAAUGAGCCAAGAAUUUUCAUAGAGUAUCUAAAUAAAUUGUGGAACUCAUUUAUGAAUUUUCGGAAAUUUUACGAAGCUCAAGGAAGUUAAAAUGAAAAGGAAUAAAGGAGCCGGAUACCCAAGAUUUCCGGACUGCAAAAUGACCUUUAAACUAAACCAGCGGAAUUUCAGAAGGAAUACUGAAGAGAAGGUUAGUACGUUUAUGAUCUUUGGAGUCUCUAGAACAUUCCUAUAUUGAGUUUGAAGAAAAAUCUCGAGAUUAAGAGUGGACAGGGAUCAGUGGAAAAAUAUCAGACCGAUACAUCCCUAAGAAAAAGUGAAAAAUUUCCGGACUCCAAAUGAGCUCAUUUUACAGUCAAAAAUUCCCAAAUAAUAUAUUAGGAAUUAUUAUAUCAUCAGAAUUCGUCAACGAGAUCAAGAAUAGGGAGAUUUAAUUUAAGAUUUCAAAAAAAAAAAAAUUAGCUUAAAGGGAUAAUGAUCAGGAAUUCUCUCGAAUCAUGUUGGCUAAUCCAGAAGUUGGCACGUGGCAAAUACUUAAGGAUAACUUCAUUUUAGUUUAUGAAACUCAGAACAUCAUCAGCUUGUCUGAAGUUUUGGCCGAAGCAAGUGAGAAGAAAAGAAAGAAAAUAAGAAAGAAACUAAGAAAGAAUUCAAGAAAAAUUCAUAGAAAAAUAUUUCUAGCUCGGAUUUUCGUGUUCUAUAGCUUGUUGGAAAGAUCCCUUCAAGACCUCUAAUUCAAGAGGUGCACAGAGAGGUGCAGAAGAACCUUAAGGACAGGAAGCUGUGAUUGAGUUGCUGAAGUAAGGAUAUGAAUAGUUAGUAGAGUAUUUUUGUAUGAGUGCUCAGUGGAGAUUGUAGAUAGUGCCUAAGAGACGGUGGUCCAGCAGGAUGCUCCAGACUCCUCCAUCAGCCGAUGCACAUAAAUGUAGUUUGAGAGAUUGUGUUUAUGUACUCUAGGCUUACUGAGUGUGCAAGAAAAUCAUGAAGAUAUAUUUAUGUUUAAAUUCUGAGUAUGUGUGGUGGAUAUGGAUGAUGGAAAUGUAUUGAAAUUUAUGUGGCUUGGUAAAUGUUGUUGAAGUAGUUGAGAUUUUAUGUUCUGAUAAAGAUCAAAAUAUAGCCAAGCGAUAGCUGAAGAUGAUACUAUCCACUUAUACAGGAAAUUAUAUUUCAUAAUAUUGUUAAAUUAGAUGAUUU